UGUACUUAGGAAAGGGUCAGUGUAACAGUUCCCUUCUUCACAUUUCCAAGAGUCCAAAAGCUGCAAAAGCCACACCCGUUCAGAUCUCUCCUCCUGUUCGUAUCUGGUUAAAAUCUGCAUCUUCUGAAAGACUUUAAUGCUCCUUCUGCUACCUGGAUAUCUAGUUUAACAUCACUGGCUUCUCAAAUGUCAUGCUUAAAAUAGGCUUUAACUUUCUAAUACUGAGUGAAUACUGUUGGAGAUUCAGAAAAUCCACAGUUUGAAUGGAUUUCUUGUUCAUCUUAUGGAACCUCAGGUUUAAUUCAAUGAAGCUGAUGACCUGGUGACCUUUGUGGUGUCCUGAUAGUCUCCAGAAUGCAAACCUUCAAACAGAGAUGCUGAAAAGUAAAAUUAUUCAUCAGAUCUAAAGAGCAGAUGAGAAGUCGCUCAAAGGAGAAGACAAUUGUAUGGAGCAAAAUGCAGACAAUUGGAAUGAAUACAUGGUACUGUACACUGAUCCACUUUCCUUUGUUUCCUCUUUCCAUGAUAACGAAAUCAAUCAGCCUUAUGGACAAUGGUCAGAUAUAACCAGGGAGCCCUCAUUGCAUUAAUCCAUCUUCCAGUGCCUAAAAAGGGUUUGUAAGAGAGCUGGAGAGUGGCUUCCUUUAGAGGCAUGUACAAAUAGGACAAAGUAAUGACUCCAAACUGAAAGGGAGUAGGUUUAGGUCAGAUAUUGGGAAGAAAUUCUUUACUGUG